GUUGGUUCAGUGCCUGGCGCAGUGUGCGGCAACUGUAUGUGAAGAUACGUCACUGUGAUUAGUUUAAUAAAAAGCUGAGCAUCCAAUACUAGGCAGGAUUUCCAGGCACAGAGGACGCUGCGAAGAAGAAAGGCAGAGGCAUGGAGAGAAGCCAGCCAGAUGGGGCACAGAUUGAACACACAAAAUGAGACAGAGCCAGAGACUACUGUGGCUGUUUAAAGAAUCAACAGAGGCCCAACUGCCCCAUCCUUGGCAUGGGACUUCAGUUCUCCAAGCCUCAAGCCGGCUGCUGUGUGUCCCAG
rnacentral:lncRNA from 1 species